UACGAAGGAUGCAAGCGUUAUCCGGAUUUAUUGGGUUUAAAGGGUGCGUAGGCGGCUUACUAAGUCAGUGGUGAAAGCCCGGAGCUUAACUCCGGAAUUGCCAUUGAUACUGAUGAGCUUGAGUACACUUGAGGUAGGCGGAAUGUGUCAUGUAGCGGUGAAAUGCUUAGAUAUGACACAGAACACCGAUUGCGAAGGCAGCUUACUAAAGUGUAACUGACGCUGAGGCACGAAAGCGUGGGGAUCAAACAGG
rnacentral:rRNA from 1 species